rnacentral:rRNA from 1 species
GAUUAUGGCUCAGAACGAACGCUGGCGGCGCGUCUUAAGCAUGCAAGUCGAACGGCAAGAGGUAGCAAUACCUCCUAGAGUGGCGGACUGGUGAGUAACACGUGGGUGACAUACCCUUCAGAUGGGGAUAGCUAUUAGAAAUAGUAGAUAAUACCGAAUACGAGCACAGGGGUUAGAGAUCUGUGAGGAAAGGAGCUAAGGCUCCGCUGAAGGAAUGGCCUGCGGCCCAUUAGCUAGUUGGUGAGGUAAGAGCCCACCAAGGCGAUGAUGGGUAUCCGGCCUUAGAGGGUGAACGGACACAUUGGGACUGAGAUACGGCCCAGACUCCUACGGGAGGCAGCAGCUAAGAAUAUUCCGCAAUGGACGAAAGUCUGACGGAGCGACGCCGCGUGGAUGAAGAAGGCCGGAAGGUUGUAAAAUCCUUUUGAAACUGAAGAAUAAGCGUUGUAGGGAAUGACAGCGUGGUGACAGUAGGUUUUGAAUAAGCAACGGCUAAUUACGUGCCAGCCGCUGC